GCUUCUACUAAAAUCAGUUAUCGAACAGAGAGCACCUAUGUAGAAAAAGAAAUUAGUAACGGGAGUUCAUUCAUUUACUACUACUAACAGUUUACCACAGAAAUCAGGACAAAUCAGGACUAACAAACACCAAAACUUACUACUAGUAUACUAGAAAAGCUGCAGUUCAUAUCGACCAUCGCUAGAUGGGGGUAUUGCCUUUCUGGGGGGCAAUAGCCAGAAAUGCUAUUACCCCCCAGAUUCUGGGGGGCAAUAGAUUUUACCUUUUGUUUCUGGUAGUAAUUGAGUUUUUAUCUUUCUAUUAACAGCCUUAUGGAGCCUGAUUUUCUUCAUGUGUUACAUGCACGUUAUCGCCGAACUGUCAUGAAGAUGUUGGGUCUUAAAGGGGGUCUCUACAAAUUGAAAGACAAAUAAUAUGAAAAGAGGAAAUCUGAAAAGGAUUCCUCGUUCAGUUUGGUGUUUGAUCUGUGGUGAUGUUUGGUAUGCAGUACAAUAUUGCAUGACCAAAAAGGACUGGCGUCGUGCUGCUGUUGAUUGUUGUCUUUAAAUACCACACCAUCGAUGCUCCAGAAUAUUACACUACAACUUAUGCUGUUCCAACGUCUGCAUCACCAAAAAAGUGCCCGAGUGCUACACCAUGGCUCCCAA